rnacentral:lncRNA from 1 species
UAAAAAACAGAAGGCAUUUCCCAUCCUCCCAACAGUCCCUAAAGCACAAUUUCCUGUGUCCUUUUUAUUGGUAUUGGCCACAUAAUAUUAAACAUACGUUUUGUAUUCUAUNNNNNNNNNCUAUUAUGGUUUAAUGCCAUUGUUUCUGUAUCACUUAAUUUUGCACUUUGAUGCAUUAUACAUCUUCAUUUGGCAGCAUGUAGUUCAUGUGUAAUAUUAGUUCAAUCUUUUAAGUUUUUCACUGUAGUUCUGUGACUGAACUGACAGUGGACUGUAUUUUAA